rnacentral:pre_miRNA from 2 species
AGCCACGUGGAGGACCCUGCGGUGACAUCAGGGCCCAGUCCCUGCUGUCAUGCCCCAGGUGACGUGCUGGGCUGACAGCAGGGCCGGCCACUAACGUCACUGUCCUGGCUU